rnacentral:tRNA from 1 species
AGGAGCAUAGUUCAAUGGUAGAAUAAAGGCCUCCAAAUCCUCUGAUUCGGGUUCGAUUCCUGACGCUCCUGCCA